ACGGUAGUGGUCUAGUCUGGCUAGGAUACCACCCUGCCACGGUGGAUGCCCGAGUUCAAAUCUCGGCUACCGUA
rnacentral:tRNA from 1 species